CACGAAGUUAGCCGGGGCUUAUUCCUCCGGUACCGUCAUUAUCGUCCCGGAUAAAGAGCUUUACAACCCUAAGGCCUUCAUCACUCACGCGGCAUGGCUGGAUCAGGCUUGCGCCCAUUGUCCAAUAUUCCCCACUGCUGCCUCCCGUAGGAGUCUGGGCCGUGUCUCAGUCCCAGUGUGGCUGAUCAUCCUCUCAGACCAGCUACUGAUCGUCGCCUUGGUAGGCCGUUACCCCACCAACUAGCUAAUCAGACGCGGGCCGAUCUUCCGGCAGUAAACCUUUCCCCAUAAGGGCGUAUCCGGUAUUAGCCCUAGUUUCCCAGGGUUAUUCCGAACCAGAAGGCACGUUCCCACGCGUUACUCACCCGUCCGCCGCUGACCCCGAAGGGCCCGCUCGACUUGCAUGUGUUAAGCCUGCCGCCAGCGUUCGCUCUGAGCCAGGAUCAAACUCU
rnacentral:rRNA from 1 species